rnacentral:tRNA from 1 species
AGCAUGUUGGCCUAAUUGGCAAUGGGUUGUAUUACGAAUACGUCGAAUGUAAGUUCGAAUCUUGUACGUGCUU